rnacentral:misc_RNA from 1 species
AAAAACAUAAACAAAGCGCUAUUGUUUGCUUCCAGACUAUAUACUUCUUAUGACUAUGGUGCCACGCUUUUUUAAGUUCACAUUUGGAGAGAUUUUUUAAAUAUUAAACUAAUAUAUCUCAUGGUUAUUACUUAAUAUGGAAAUAUUUUGACUUGCAAAAUUUGUACCAGUUAUUCUGAGUGGCAAACAGGUACUGUUAUUGUAAGUGUCAAAGUGAGUGGUAAGGAUCAUUUAACUUUUUUUAGUGAUAUACAUAUUUAAGACAAAUAAACUUUGAACCUUUUAUUUAAAUAUUAUUUUUUUGAUUUGUUUUACAUUCCUAAAUUUAUUAAGAAACUCAUCAGUUGUAACUAUUUAAUGCUUUAAUGGUAUAAUGGGUCGACACAUAUUUAAAGGAGAAUUCAAAAAACAUUUAAUUAGUAAUUUUACAUUGCCAUCUAACACAAAUAUUGGGUGCAUGAAUGGACACGUUCUGUUUCUUUAUACUAGCAAUGGUGAGUUGUUUAGCAAAACAGUUGCAAAAGUCAAUGAGCAUUUUAACUUGAAUAUUUGCUCCAGUCAUAUCAAAAAAGUAGUGUACAUAGCCAAAAACUGGUCUAAAAAUUUUUUAAGAAAAUAUGAAAGUUGUGUUGCAUUUUGUAAUGAGCCCUUUAUAAACCGUGAACCACUGAUUACAAUUUUAUCGCAGCCUAUCUUAAGUAACACUAAUUACACAAUAUCACAUUCUUCUGUUUAAUCAUUGUCAGAACACAGCAGUGUCACAUCUCUGAUACGUAAUGAACCUUCAUGUUCUGCUGGACAUGAAGCAAAUUUAACUACUAGGCAGACUUCAAUAGAAAAAUUGAGCCCUAGGAAGAAAAAAUUAACUAACUGGUUGUCUCAUUUGUCUUCUAGAUUAUAUGUAACGAAGUGGAUCAUACAGCUUUUUUAUAUUCAAACUUUCACUUUAAACCCUUUGAAGAAUGUCGUCGUAUGGUCAUAUCAAAUAUUUCAAACACAAUGUCGGACAGAGUAUCUGUUAACCAUCUUACAAUAAAAAAAAUUGGUGAAACUUGGGGUAAAAGUCUCAAUGAAUUAAACUGUCAUUUGCACCCUCUUGACACAAUUGCCACAUCGUGUCGUUCAGCAUUAAAGUCUCUAGAGCUUGAUAGCUGCAAAUUAUAUGGAAAUGUUAAUUUUUUAGACAAUAAUAAACUACCACGAGGUAUCAUUCCAAGGUAUCGUGGAAAUCUCCUUCACGUUCUGUUCCACACUUGUUUUAUUUUUAUAAAACAUUAUAACAAAUUUUCACAUUUUUUAACUAUAGGAACAGUAAAAAUAAAAACUUUACAAAGGGUUCUGCGAGUAGCAUUUUGUAAUACAACUGCUAUAAAGCAAAUGUGUCUACUUGCUUUAUUUGGAAAACUUCUUACAGGCCCGUGGAUGACAAUGUUUUAUGUGUCAUCUGAGAAAGCAUAUUUUGAUCAUGUUGGUGGUAUCCAGAUUGUUAAAAAUGUUGUGCAAACAAUUAAAGACUGCAAAUGCGAUCCAGCUGCAAUAUUUUGCAGAACAACAGAUUUUUUUGGAAAUGCUCUCAAAGCAAAUGUGUUAGAACCAUUAACAAAAAUAUGUAGAAUUGAUGACGAGCUCAUUGCCAUGAUCUUGGCUUGCCUCAAUGCAAUAGAAGUGGUUUUAAAUCAACAGUAUAAGCGCUAUUUUUCCAUUACCAUUACAGAAGCACUUUCCAUUACCAUUACAGAAGCAAAAAGAAACAGCUAGUGCAAGGCUUCAUUACAUAGAUAGUGAAGAGUUAAUGGGAAUGUUCAGUGCUGCAAAAGGAAGAUCUCCUAAUGCAUCUAUUGAUUAUAUAUCUUGCAAAUUACGAACCAAAAAGAAUGGGACAAUGGAUUAUCUGGAUAAUCUUGAUGACUUUUCUAGAAAAAUGGUAGUUCAGUGGUCUAUUCAGGCAGCACGUAAAAAACGAAUAAAAACUCGACUACAACAUACUGAAAUUAGAGCUGAGAUUUCUAAAAGACAGACUAUAAAACGCCAAAAAAUUGAUGAAAAAGAAAAAAGAAAGUUAGAGCAACAAUUAACAUUAUUAACUAUCAGUGAAAUUCUGAAUUUGUUUAAAAACUUAUCUACUAAGCAAAUUGAUGAUUUAAAUGAUGUUAUGUGUGAAAGAAUUGUUGGGAGAAAUCUUUGCCAUGAAUGGUAUGAUUCCGAUACAGCAAUGACAGUCUUGUAUAAUGGCAGAGUAGAAAAACUUAAAAAAGCUCAGAAAGAUAUUAUAUACACUAUUUCUUAUUGGACUAGAGAAGAAAAUGAUACUGAAGCAGUUGAUUAUUAUAUGAAAAAAUUCCAGCUAGUUGCUGACAUUGUAUCCGGUCAGAGGGGGAACCAUCUAUAACUAUCACAAAGCAUUGUGUGGUGUAUUUUGAGUUUUGGUUGUCAAAAAAAAAAGGAAGAGGGGGGGGCAACGACACGCCCCCUCGCUCAUCUACACCCUUGAAACAAAUGCAUGUUCAAGAAUAUUUCUGCAUGGUGCACUCUGACUGUUGACAAUAUUUGCAUAUUGAUAUGAGUAAAAGUGACUUAUGAGUAAAACAACCAGAAUGUAUUUUUGAUAAAUAUUAGUAAUAAAAGUUCAUAUUGAAACGAAAUAUUGUGUGAAGAGGUUUUCAAAGAAGUCGUCAAAGCUUCCGAUUCCCGAAAUAUCCGUAAAAGCAUUCGAUACAUGAAUAAUCGGUUAAAAGUUUGCUUAAAAUCGACAGUGUAAUUUUAAUUACUAUUUUUU